CCUACGGGAGGCAGCAGUGGGGAAUAUUGGGCAAUGGGCGCAAGCCUGACCCAGCAACGCCGCGUGAAGGAAGAAGGCUUUCGGGUUGUAAACUUCUUUUCUCAGGGACGAAGAAAGUGAAGGUACCUGAGGAAUAAGCCACGGCUAACUACGUGCCAGCAGCCGCGGUAAUACGUAGGUGGCAAGCGUUAUCCGGAUUUACUGGGUGUAAAGGGAGUGUAGGCGGGGAUGCAAGUCAGAUGUGAAAACCACGGGCUCAACCUGUGGCCUGCAUUUGAAACUGUUUUUCUUGAGUACUGGAGAGGCAGACGGAAUUCCUGGUGUAGCGGUGAAAUGCGUAGAUAUUAGGAGGAACACCAGUGGCGAAGGCAGUCUGCUGGGCAGCAACUGACGCUGAGGCGCGAAAGCGUGGGGAGCAAACAGGAUUAGAUACCCGAGUAGUC
rnacentral:rRNA from 1 species